AGCGCCGGCGUCGCCUCCGCACGUCCAACCACCGUCGCACGCCCACACGCCGACCCGCCGGCCAUCAUCCCUUCCAAUACGACCAGGCAGCAGGGAUCCAUCUUUUCCGCGGGGGUCCGACCUUUCGUACGCUUCACUCAGGCGGCCAGUAGGACAGCCGGCGCGAUCUCGUCAGCCACAGGCACGCUGACCUUCUCUCCCCUUCAGUCGUGCGGCCAGCAGGAGUGCAAGACACAUGCCGCGAUCGCGUGGUCACGGCCAGUAUGACGGCAUCGUAGUAGCUACAUGCCUACAUCACACAUCCUGGUUAUUGGACAUCAGCAACGCGAGAUUGCUCCCCGUCAAGUUCCAAUAUAUUGAUGUACAUGCAUGUAGUUGAUGUUGUCAAAAUCCAGGUAUUAUUGUCAAAUUCUGGACCAACAAAGGCUAUGAUUUUACUUACGUAUCUUCGAUUCUCAAUUAACAUUUCUUUCUUCUGUUUUAUCUAACAAUUAUGCAGGGGAAACCUUUGGAAAUGUUGAAUCUCAACUGACUUCUUCCUGCCGUCUUAGAUCUGCGUGUGUGCUACUAUUUACUAGACAUACAAAUAGCAUCAAUUCCCGGUAUACCAGUCAGUUUGUUUUUGCAUGAUUAUUGUUAUAGCUGCAGAUUAUGCAAACUGUUUAGGAGGCUGAAUAUGUACAUGACAUAUCUCAUAAACUGUCCAGAGAAAUUGACAUUUAUUCUAGAAUGGAGAAUCUUAUAUUAAUAAAAAGUGUCUAGCUAGAUGUUGAUUUGCUUACUUAUGCUUGUGUCACAGAUUUGUUAUCAAACAUUGAUUGAUUGGACUGCCGUUAGUCACCUCAACGUUUAACAAUGGUGGACAUGGUGUUGGAAAUGGAGUUCUCCUGAUCAUCGUUACAACUGUCUACUGAUUGGAAGUGAGUUGUAGAUGGACUGAGGGGCAACAAAAAAAAACAAUUAUCACAGUUUGCAGUCUGUAUAUUAGCAGCAAUAGUGGAUGAUCGUAAAUCUUCACCUGGAAUACAAGUAUGAGUAACAGUGCUUGGUUGUACUUUGGGAGUCAACUUGUGUUAAGCUGUAUUAUUUGUAUCUGAGAGGUCAAAUCAUUGACAUGCAUAUAGUUUUUCAUAUCAUUUGUUUUAUGAAUUGUACAUCAUAACUUGUGGUCUUUUCUGUAUAGAACGCAAGAGGUACAAUCAUAUUAUGCUAGCAGGACGCGAGUAUCGGAAAGAUGAUGGACAUGUUCAGAAGUUUAUCGAAAAUUUCAAGGCCUGCUCUACACUGUGGACGUCUUCGGCACAUGAUUUUUGGGGUAAUAUUCCUAGAAUCAAGUGAUCCAGGCGGCAAGCAGAGCAGGCAACACCUCUGCAGCAGGCAAGGUGGCAUUGAGCAGCGGAGCCGGCUGGGCAAGUUUUUUAGCCGUGGCCGGCAAAUAUUGGUGGAUGUUAGUGUAAAGCUCCUCUUUGUAGUAUUUUCGUUGGUGUUGUGGAGGGGAACAUCACCAAGGAUGCAGGAGAAAACUGAGAAAUGAUUUGGUUGUUGAAAUGAUUUUAUCUACAAAGAGAUCUUUUUGUUCCAAAAUUUGCAUUGUAAUGUCAAUAUUUAGUUUUUUCU